rnacentral:rRNA from 1 species
AUGGCGAGGCAUAUCCAAGCCGAUCACGAGUCCGCAGAUGACAGUGGUGGUGCUGCUGGUGCCGCGCUCGUGCUGUGGGACUGCGGCAGCGCGCUCUACGACUCGUACGAGCUCACCGCCUUCAAGCGCCAGCUCGACGCCGCCGUGCUCGCCGGCCGCUCGCUCUCAAUGCCGCACCUCCCCGCCGCCAGCCCGGCCGUUCAGCCAGCCGGCCGCAGGAAGCGCGCGAGGCGGCUCCCCGCCCUGCUCCGGAGGCUCUUCUCCAAGGUGCUGCGGCUGGCGUCGGCGCGCGGGGCGAGACACGACCGCUACCGGGCGUACGAGGGGUACGGCCACGGCGGCUACAGCGGCACGGGGUCGCCGUGGUCCGGGGCGCUGACGUCCAUCCCGGAGGAGAGCGGCGGCAGCCCGGAGGCGGGGUCGUCCCCGGUCGUCCCCGGCCCGAGCGCGCUGCGCAGGGCGCAGUCGGAGCGGUUCAUCGGCAGCAAGACGGCGACCCCGAUGGUGCAAUUCGAUGUCGUCUUGUAG